CACUCCUGCGGGAGGCAGCAGUGGGGAAUUUUGGACAAUGGGGGCAACCCUGAUCCAGCAAUGCCGCGUGAGUGAAGAAGGCCUUCGGGUUGUAAAGCUCUUUUGUCAGGGAAGAAACGGUGGUGGCGAAUAACUACUACUAAUGACGGUACCUGAAGAAUAAGCACCGGCUAACUACGUGCCAGCAGCCGCGGUAAUACGUAGGGUGCAAGCGUUAAUCGGAAUUACUGGGCGUAAAGCGUGCGCAGGCGGUUGUGUAAGUCAGAUGUGAAAUCCCCGGGCUCAACCUGGGAAUUGCAUUUGAGACUGCACGGCUAGAGUGUGUCAGAGGGGGGUAGAAUUCCACGUGUAGCAGUGAAAUGCGUAGAUAUGUGGAGGAAUACCGAUGGCGAAGGCAGCCCCCUGGGAUAACACUGACGCUCAUGCACGAAAGCGUGGGGAGCAAACAGGAUUAGAUACCCUUGUAGUCCCAUGA
rnacentral:rRNA from 1 species